GAGCGCGUAGAUCAAUUGGCAGAGCAUUGGGCUAGUAUUCCAAAUGUCGUAGGUUCGAUUCCCACCGUGGUCA
rnacentral:tRNA from 1 species